GAUGAAGAACGUAGCGAAAUGCGAUACGUAAUGUGAAUUGCAAAUUCAGUGAAUCAUCGAGUCUUUGAACGCACAUUGCGCCCCCUGGUAUUCCGGGGGGCAUGCCUGUCCGAGCGUCAUUGCUGCCCUCAAGCACGGCUUGUGUGUUGGGCCCCGUCCUCCGAUCCCGGGGGACGGGCCCGAAAGGCAGCGGCGGCACCGCGUCCGGUCCUCGAGCGUAUGGGGCUUUGUCACCCGCUCUGUAGGCCCGGCCGGCGCUUGCCGAUCAACCCAAAUUUUUAUCCAGGUUGACCUCGGAUCAGGUGGGGAUACCCGCUGAACUUAAGCAUAUCAAUAAGCGGAGGA
rnacentral:misc_RNA from 1 species